CGGACCGAUGAUGACGACUGGUGGCGUUUGAGUCAUGGCUGAUGAAUAAUACGUGUCUGGAAGUCUGAGGUCUGG
ensembl:snoRNA